GCCUUCUCAUUGAGCUCCUUUCUGUCCACUGGUGGCAGUUAAUGGAUUCGCACGAGAAGAAGAGACAAUUCACAGAAGUAGCAAUACUUUUUAUCUCUGUCUUUACAGGGGUAUAUUGGCUAUUUUGUGAGACAUUU
rfam:Tupaia chinensis contig236043, whole genome shotgun sequence.